rnacentral:rRNA from 1 species
UUAUUGGAGAGUUUGAUCCUGGCUCAGGACGAACGCUGGCGGCGUGCCUAAUACAUGCAAGUCGAGCGAAUUGA